rnacentral:lncRNA from 1 species
AUAACUGAUGAAAUGUAAAGUGUCGAAAAGUAGAAAGUACAGAAAGAUAAAUGACUGGAAAACAUAAAAGAGAUUUGUAAAGAACUUUAAACUUUAUAAAAUAAACUUUGAAGGAAUUGGUGUUUGUUUACACAUACAUUUUCCAAAUAUGACUCUUUUCUCUCACACGGGUACUUUGAGUGUUUUCAGGAAUUUUGUAUAAGUAAUUUUUCACACCUUUUUCUGAUAACAACUACCCUAUUUAUAUACAAAUAACAUAACUGUCACUAACGGUUAAAUCCUAAAACUGUGACGAACGGCUUUCAUCUUUUCGCCAGAUGCUUCCACGCGUCUUCUGUCAAACGUUACAACUUUUUAAAUUCAAAUUUACACUUUAAGUCGAAACGACGUCUUCCUUUAGGAUUUUUUUGUCGAAUUAUCAAGAU